rnacentral:lncRNA from 1 species
GUGACAAGAAGAGUUUCCAAAGGGACAGAGACAUCAGUCUAUAGAUCUGGAAGAGUAGGUUUGAAGCACCCCAUGGUGAUUUGCUCAUCUCACUAAGCUACACACCAGGAGAGCAGCAAAAUUCUCUCUUUGAAGAAAAGGGGGCCCAAGCCUAGGAAGGCCACAGCAGCUGCAGUUCCUGCUGACCUCACUAGGAGUUGGAAGAGCAGAAUUGGA